GGGUCAGUAGGUUGGUCGUGCCACCGGUACGUACUGGUCUCACUGCUUCCUCCUUCCUGAAGAACCGUAAUGCCAUUAAUUUGGUGUUGCGGGGAAACAGGACUGUUACUUUGAAAAAAUUAGAGUGUUUAAAGCAAGCUAACGCUUGAAUACAUUAGCAUGGGAUAAUGAAAUAGGACGAUCGAUCCUAUUUUGUUGGUUUCUAGGAUUGACGUA
rnacentral:rRNA from 1 species